AACCUCCGCAAUGUGAGAAAUCGCGACGGGGGGAUCCCAAGUGCCAUUCUUAACGGGAUGGCUUUUCAUUAGUGUAAAGAGCUUUUGGAAUAAGAGCUGGGCAAGACCGGUGCCAGCCGCCGCGGUAACACCGGCAGCUCUAGUGGUAACAAUUUUUAUUGGGCCUAAAGCGUCCGUAGCCGGUUUAAUAAGUCUCUGGUGAAAUCCUGUAGCUUAACUGUGGGAAUUGCUGGAGAUACUAUUAGACUUGAGACCGGGAGAGGUUAGAGGUACUCCCAGGGUAGAGGUGAAAUUCUGUAAUCCUGGGAGGACCGCCUGUUGCGAAGGCGUCUAACUGGAACGGUUCUGACGGUGAGGGACGAAAGUUAGGGGCGCGAACCGGAUUAGAUACCCGGGUAGUCCUAACUGUAACGAUGCGGACUUGGUGUUGGGGUGGCUUUGAGCUGCUCCAGUGCCGAAGGGAAGCUGUUAAGCCCGCCGCCUGGGAAGUACGGUCGCAAGACUGAAACUUAAAGGAAUU
rnacentral:rRNA from 1 species